UGCUAGCACACUUGCAUACUCAUCAAGAC
rnacentral:piRNA from 1 species